rnacentral:piRNA from 1 species
UGCCCAUUGCUACUGACAAACCAAAGGGUC